UCUAAACAAAUGCCUCAUGACCACCGGGGUCUGGUUAUAUAGCACUGUUAUAUAGCAGUAUAUCCUUAACUCUAAAACACUAUUUGGAAUAUAGGAGAAUCUUGGUAUACAUCUGUGAAUAACUAAUAAAAUAUUCAACAGAAGGAGGAGCCUACUGAUCAUAUUUCAUCAAAUCCAUUCUCAUGGAGGUUGAAAAUCAAAAUACGGGUUCUACUAUAUGGAAACAGGAUGUGUUUGUCCAUUCAUCUGCUGAUGGGUAUUUGAAUUGUCUCCAAUUAUUGUGAGAAAAGAGUUGCUGUAAACACUGUGCACAAGCUUUUAUGUGAAUAUGCUUUUAUGCCUUCAGUAAAUACAAAGAGACUAAAGGCAGAGUUGUAUGCCAUGAAAACACAGUGUCUGCUAGUGGUCUUCAAUAGUAGCACCGGAUCUUGUGCUGGCUGUCAAGGAUCUUUGAGCUUCGGAGAAGCCAUUGGUGACCUGGAUUUCUUAAAUUUACAUCUUGCCGAGACAGCGUCGGCUUGAAUGAUGAAUCAUGUGAUGCUGUGGCAGCAGGGAGAGGUGAGGACAAGACAGACUGCUCUUGAUAAUCGAGUUAAUAAACAGAAGUGAAGAAUCUCACCCUGUAGGACAAAGCAGCGAGAGAAUUAUUUAUUGUGGCUGUUUAAGGACAACUUCAGAGCACAAUUUGAACAUCUCUGAGGAGCCUUGUUGACCUGCAGUUUGAAUGAAUGUUAGGCUGAUCUGAUUCUUCCAGCAGGCAGGCUGCUAAAGCCUCACAGUGGAGUUCCACUGUGCCUGAGUUCAACAGUUCCAUAGGCUUGGAAAUUUGAUCUCAUCAGCUAUUGAAUUAUAAAGCCAUCUUUUAGGUAAAGUUCCACAUUUGCUAAACUCACGCUAUCCAUGUGUAUCAACACAGAGCCAGUUGUGCAAAUUAGAAUGAAAAAUGCAGUGCUCAUCUUGACUCAGUGGCUCAACCUGGUGUCUCCAGCCAUCUUUACAUCUGCAGAGAAAAACAGAGAAAAAUCCUCCUUGGAGCAUUGUAGGGGAAUGCAUAAAAUCAGAAGAGCAAGCCAGAGCUCCUAAAAACAGUCAGACCAAGCUUUGGGAGUUAUUAGGCAGAAACAAUUUUCACUAUUCUUGAUUCCAUGUUUACCUACUUUCUUCUAACACUUCAUUAACACAUUUAAUUUAAUCCAUAUUAACAUUUUGUCUUUUGUUUUCCUGGGUCCUGUCUUGCCAUUGCUUCAAUGAUCUCAUUUAAGUCUUUUGCUUUGUGUAAAUUUGAAUCACAAAUUCUUACAAGGUUCAUUCCCUUAGAUAUUCUGUAUAAAGAUUUGAAUCAUAUCACUCCCAGAGACAACCCAUAUAUCGAGAAACAGCUGAGAUGAGCAGUGUUCUUUCUCCAUGACAGAUGUUGCCCUGGCUUUUACUUCCCCAGAUAUAUUCAUUGGACACUUGGCUCCAACCCCUCCUAGGUAUUAUUCCCUUCCUUUCCCUGCAUACCUCUCCUUUGUUCACCUCUGUGAGCAUUGAACAUUGAACAUUGGUCAAGGAUUGCCAUCAGGAGGCAGCAUUAUUGACACACUUGGUACAUGUUUCACCUCCCAGUUUCACCAACCAUUAAAUGGCUAUUUCAAUGCCUACCUUAUGCUAUUAUUAUGUAUGCAGAUGUGUGAUAUGUAAUGUAAGGGUUCCAAUAUUGCCUGUUAUUCCCCACAAGAUGCAUCUCAGUGAGACAAUCCCCACAACACAUUACAGCCACAUCCUGAUAUGGUUCACAUGCACUGCAGCAUUGGAAUCACAUAUAACUUGACAUUCAUCUCUUUGGGUGGGACCAUUCUGGUGUCUUAAGGCUCUUAAUGGUGCCUCAACUACAUUAACUUGGAAGUGGCUACCUUUCCCACUCCAGGCACAACCAAAAUCAAGUCUUCAAAUAUACUCAAGCAGAAGCACAGGAUUGCUAAGGCCCAAAGGAAACCCAGAAUAACUCAUGACAGAUCAGAGAAUAUGAAGUUCAUAGAUCAAUGGCGGUGAGUGUCUCCUUUGGGUGCCUUUAUUCUCUUUGGAGUUCAGUGGGGAAUACAGUUGAAAGAAGAGCUGGUAACAUUGAUGUUUCUGGAGAAUCUCACAUCACUUUUAAGCUAGAAUUCUAAAGUCUGUCACAUUGCCAUGGAAACCAGGCAGAAUGCUGCCUGAUUUCCUAAAUGCCAUGGGACAUGCUGAUGUCUCUCCUUACAUUAUCCUGAGAGUUGAAAGACCUAAAGCCAAUGGACAUAGACUGUGACUGUGUAACUGAGGCAAAAACACCAUCACAAUGGCCAAGAUGGUUUCCAAAUAUAGGUCCCACUCAAAUGAAGUUAAAUAAGGCCUGGGGGCCUGCCAAGGCCUCUUGUCUUCAGCAAAUAUCAGAACUGAGAGGAAGUGCACAAGGCAGCUAGAUCUAAUUUGCAUUUAUCAUUGUCAUGACUGAAAUGCAGUGAAGUUGAUAUGACAUGACAGGACUCUUUCCACAAUAUUUGCCAUCCUUUAUGACUUUAGCCUGCAUGCAUAGGAAUUGUCCUACCCUAGGUGGUAGGGAUCUAGUAAUAAAAUGGAUACAGUAAUUUCUACCGAAUUUAUGAAGUGCCUAUGUAUG
rnacentral:sRNA from 1 species